CGGUAGUUAAAAGAAUGAAAUAUUUUGUUACAAAUAAAAGGUUUAAGAUGAAGAUUGCUAUGAUAUUGUUACUUAUUGCUGCGGUAGUUAUAGCUAAGGAUAAGCACUCCAAGCCCCACCACGCAAAGGUUCUUAAACAUGGUUUCUAUUGUGAUUAUGAUGCAGAAUGUCUCGUGCUCUGUGAGCUCCAGUGCAGCAACGUGGGAGAAUACAUAUGCCUAGAAGGAAGUUGUUACUGUCAGAUGCUUGAAACAAAGUAAAUACCUCGCUUUUAUUGGUAGCUGAGAG